rnacentral:tRNA from 1 species
UAAGCUUUAGUUUACUUAGAAUGUUUGACUGUUAAUCGAAAGGAGUUGGAAAGCAAGCUUAG